CAAUAGCGUAUAUUAAAGUUGUUGCGGUUAAAAAGUUCGUAGUUGGAUUUCUGCCAAGGACGACCGGUCCGCCCUCUGGGUGAGUAUCUGGCUUGGCCUGGGCAUCUUCUUGGAGAACGUUGCUGCGCUUCACUGCGUGGUGCGGUAUCCAGGACUUUUACUUUGAGGAAAUUAGAGUGUUUCAAGCAGGCUUCCGCCUUGAAUACAUUAGCAUGGAAUAAUAAGAUAGGACCUCGGUUCUAUUUUGUUGGUUUCUAGAGCUGGGGUAAUGAUUAAUAGGGAUAGUUGGGGGCAUUCGUAUUUAACUGUCAGAGGUGAAAUUCUUGGAUCUGCUAAAGACGGACAACUGCGAAAGCGUUUGCCCAGGAUGUUUNCAUUGA
rnacentral:rRNA from 1 species